rnacentral:misc_RNA from 1 species
UGACUGCGUUUUAGGAGUUA